UACAGAGGCCUCGAGCGUUAGGCGGAAUCACUGGGCUUAAAGCGUGUGUAGGCGGGCGGGCAAGUACCUUGUGAAAUCCCACGGCUCAACCGUGGAACGGCUGGGUAUACUGCCUGUCUUGAGCCAACUAGGGGCGAGCGGAACAGACGGUGGAGCGGUGAAAUGCGUAGAUAUCGUCUGGAACGCCAAAGGUGAAAACAGCUCGCUGGGGUUGUGCUGACGCUGAGACACGAAAGCCGGGGGAGCGAACGGG
rnacentral:rRNA from 1 species